rnacentral:lncRNA from 1 species
UACUUUAUAAUCACUCUUCUUUCCUUUCUUCCUCACAGAUAGGUGUACAAUAAGAUCUCAAAGCUGCAAGCAAAGUCUGGGAUUACAUAACAGGGAGUAGGUUCUCCAAACGUGGCAGAUUGCCAUGUAAGGAGAGCUGGCAUAAGUGGAGUGAGGAGGGACAGAGCAAUCGCCAUGCCUGACUACAGACCUCUGCGGAAAUACAAUAGAAUGUCUUACUGGGGAACCCUCGCUAACCAGGUCAGAAGAUGAAAGAACUGAAGACUGGUCAUCUGUGCAGAGGAAAUGAUAAGGAAAAUGUUGAAAUACUGUCCAGUAUAUUUGCUAGGAAUGCUGUGAGAUAAAAAAGUAAGUAUUUUUACGUGACUGCUUAAUGUUGAUAGAGGGAGGGGGGAUUGAUUAUUUCAUUUGCCCGAAGUCUGCUUGCUGAAUUGCUGUGUUGAUACUAUUAUUAGUGUGCAUGUUUCUAACUUCAUAGAAGAUAAAAAAUGCUCCUUGCCCUACAGACUGUAAAUUCUGAAAUGUUCCAGUAUCCCAGAGCAGAUGCAGAACAGUAGCUUACAUGAAAUCUGGAAUGAGAUUUUAGUAGUUUUAAAAAAGAGAUAAAAG